GAUCAGGGCUACUGCUGAGAGAAAAAAUGAAGGUGUUUUACAGAAUGCAAAUUCAUAUCGAUCUAUCCAAAGAGAAGCAGCUCUAUCUAAGUUUCGCAUGAAGCGGAAAGAUAGAUGUUAUGAGAAGAAGGUUCGCUAUGAGAGUAGGAAAAAACUUGCUGAGCAAAGGCCCAGAGUCAAAGGACAAUUUGUUCGUCAAGCGCACCCCCCANNGGAGCAGUGGCAUGACAGUUCUAUCGAUGGUUAGCAACUAUGGUCAUACAGUUGAUUAGGGUGGAAUCCGUAGAUCAUAGACCAGGCAUUGAUUGUUUCUGCCUUUUGCUUUGUGAUGUAUGAAAGAUGAAAGAUGAGGAGAAAAUGGUCAAGGAAUGGAUAAGUGGGGUUAAUGAUUAUCGGCCAUGCGGAAUUCCCC
rnacentral:misc_RNA from 1 species